UGGAAGGAGUAAACCCCGUAUUGAGUGGGGACAGCAAACAGAAGAGGAUGAACGGAAUACCUUUUGUGAUGGGAGGUGACUAAGAAGUGAUAGAAGAAAUGGAUAGAAGAGAUCUGGGCAUGAGUGAGUGCUUCCAAGGCUGGGAAACUGAGCUAGCUUCUUUCUGUACAACCCUUUAUACAAAGUAGAGCAGAUUUGCCAGGUCACAUCAGAGAGCUUGUCCCAGCUUGGCUUCCAAACCUGCAAGCAGCAGCUGCUGUGUAGACAUCCAGUCACGGAUGUGGCCCCACAAACUCAUGUCAUACAGCUCCUGUGUAGCUUGCUCUCUGGAAGUAGUCUCAGUCUAUUUGCAGCCUCCAGAGCCUUGAAAAGUGUGUCAGCAUGUCCCCAGGUUCGAUCCCACAAGCACACCUGAAGUACCUGUCCUGAAAUCAGUGGGCCUAUUCAGAACCAAUCCUGGGGUAAAUGACAGGAAACUCUUUAAGAAAUUGUGAGUGGUGCCUGUGAGUGGUACCGGAAGAGGGAGAUGCCAGCAACAGCCAGGAGAAGAACCUGUGCAUCACGCGUGACUUAGGGAUUACUGAUAUAUACGAGGAAGACAAAGCACGAGGCCAGCUAAAGGAAGGGACCUUUGCAGAAGACAUCAUUGGUGAGGUCACACCUUUCCCUCACAGUAACACCACAGAGCUUCACGGUGUUCCAGCUGCAGCCAAAGACUUGAAGCUAAAAGUGCUCCAUCUGGAUGCCCCAUGCUUGUCACUGCUGAUAAGAGGAGGUUGGACUGACUAACCUGGCUCCCCCAGAACUGAUGUUCAAAAAGUGCAUAAACUCACCGUCACUUUUUCAGGUAAUAAAGAACUAUUUUUCUUGAUUUCA
rnacentral:lncRNA from 1 species